rnacentral:misc_RNA from 1 species
GUGAAGAACGUAGCGAAAUGCGAUAAGUAAUGUGAAUUGCAGAAUUCAGUGAAUCAUCGAAUCUUUGAACGCACAUUGCGCCCGCCAGUAUUCUGGCGGGCAUGCCUGUUCGAGCGUCAUUUCAACCAUCAAGCUCUGCUUGCGUUGGGGAUCCGCGGCUGCCCGCGGUCCCUCAAAACCAGUGGCGGGCUCGCUAGUCACACCGAGCGUAGUAACUUUACAUCGCUAUGGUCGUGCGGCGGGUGCUUGCCGUAAAACCCCCCAAUUUUUAAGGUUGACCUCGGAUCAGGUAGGAAUACCCGCUGAACUUAAGCAUAUCAAUAAGCGGAGGA